rnacentral:rRNA from 1 species
ACAGGUAAUUGAAGCACCUGCUAGGGGAGGUGAUUGUGACCUCCUAUUGAGGGAACCAGAACACAAAUAGAUUUUUAGACUAGGGACAGUCAAGAACAGCCUUAAUAUUAACAUAGAGUGGGGCCUGUUUAUGCACCAGGGAUUUAAUAUUCCAAAGAGUAUACUAGUUGAUCCAACUCCAAUUUGGAAUAUUGAAUAUGGAAACAGUAGAGUGUAUAAGAGCUUUUACAUCUAGGAUGCAGCACCUGAAUAGAGGUCAUAUGGCAUCGAAAUCAACAACACAUAGGUACGGUUUAAAGUAUAAGAAUGCAAAUCUGGUAUCCAACAAAAAAUAAAAAAAGAACGGCUUUGGAUUGGAUCACCCUUUGGACAAGCAAGAAGAAACCAGUUACAUUAAUAGGACCACUAUGUUGGACAAAGGCACAGGUAUGAGGGAAUAAUAUGUAUGACCGACACAUCAUUUUGUAGUUGAAUUAACACAAGUUUAAAAAUUCCCCACAUUUGUGUGUCCCAACUUUAAAUAAAUGAGAGCACAAAUAACAGCGUUCUUCACAACGUUUCUGAAGAUUUUUGACUGCAUUUUGCAAUGUGUGAUGACUAUAGAUGGUGAACUUUGUCUGGCCAGGGAAAAGCCAGAGGAAACUCUGGUGGAGGCUCAGAGUGGUCCUGAAGUGGGAAUCGGUCGUCCGACCUGAGUAUAGGAAAACACAAGAGGUGAUUGCUGGAAGGUUUUUAAAUUAAUCUUAACCUCUGGCAUUGUGAACCCCUGCAAACCAUUGUUUUUUGCAUGUCAAGCCAUUACAGAAGGGGAAAGACUAUAUGCAAAUCAAACUUUGCCCCACCUCAAAAGGGGCAGUCCAGCCCGAACUGCUAGGUCACAUCCCUUGUGCACGAGACCACAAGUAUCCCCUUUCUGUAAUGGCUUGGCAGGCGAAGAAUGAUGGUCUGGAGCAUUGCCCAGAGCAAUUGCCAGAGGUUCAAGAUUAAUUCUAAACCUUCCAGCCAUCACCCCUUUGUUUGGGUAUGGGUCAAAAGACUAAUUGAACCAUCUAGUAGCUUUUCCCUCUGACGUUUCUCUCGGAAUAGCUGGUGCUUGGAAACCCCAGUUUUAUCCGGUAAAGCAAAUGAUUAGAGGUCUUGGAGCCAAAACCAUAUGAACCUAUUCUCAAACCUUAAUUGGUUAAGUAGCCCGGGUCAGUGGCGUGGAACCGGGCAUCAAAUUAGUGUGCUGGGCUACUUUUGGUAAGCAGAACUGGUGCUGCGGGAUGAACUGAAUGCUGUGCUAAGGUGCCUGAUGUUGACGCUCAUCAGACCCCAUAAAAGGUGUUGGUUGAUAUAGACAGCAGGACGGUAGCCAUGGAAGUCAGAAUCCGCUAAGGAGUGUGUAACAACUCACCUGCCUAAUCAACUAGCCCUGAAAAUGGAUGGUGCUGGUGCGUCUGGCCGAUACCCAGCCAUCACUGAGAGCCACAGGGGCUAAGCAGUGACGAGUAGGACGGCCGCUGCAGUGUGCACAGAAGCCAAGGGCAAGGGCCCGGGUGGAGCCAUCACAGGGGCAGAUCUUGGUGGAAAGAGCAAAUAUUCAAACAAGUACUCUGAUGGUCGAAGUGGCGAAGAGUUCCAUGUACACAGCAGUUAAACAUGGGUCAGUAUGUCCUAGGAGAUGGGCAAGUGCCUUUCGGAAGGGUCCGUUGAUGGCAUCUGUUGCCCUCUGCAAAAUGAAACAGUCUGGUUCAGAUCACUGGAGUGGCGGAUAUGGCACGCUCAAAGCAUCCAGUGCAGAAAGGCAGACUAUCCCAAAGAAGCCGGUGGGAGCCCCGGGGGAGUUCCCUUUUCUUUGGGAAGGACAGGGCAACCUGGAAUGGGUUCACCCCGAGAGAGGGGCCUGGAAAGUGUUGCAGUUCCAGUGGUGUCCGGUGAGCUCUCGCUGGUCCUUGAAAAUCCAGGGGAGAUGGUGUAAAUCUCUCACCAGACCGUACCCAGACCCGCAGGAUAUCUCCAAGGUGAACAGUCACUGGCAUAUUGGAACAAUGUAGAUAAGGGAAGUCAGAUCUGUAACUUCGGGAUAAGGAUUGGCUCUUAGGGCUGGGUUGGCCCGGAUAGGCACACGCCAUGACAUCUCUCCCCCUGGGAGCGGUGCAGACUCUGGGCGCGAGCCGUCAAGCCCUUCCUGUGGAUUGCCCCAGCUGCGAUGGUACCCUCUCGCCAUUUCCAUCCUUGGGUUCGGGGUGGCAUUCUGCCUCAGUGGAUGCCUAGCAACUGAUUUGGAAUUGGUGCAGACCAGGGGAAUCUGUUGAAUUAACACCAAGCAUCGCAAAGGCCCACAGCGGGUGUUGAUAUGAUUUCUGAUUUCUGCUCAGUGCUCUAAAUAGCAAAGUGAAGAAAUUCAGUAACUAUGACUCUCUUAAGGUAGGCAAAUGCCUUGUCAUCUAAGUAAUGACGCUCAUGAAUGAAUGAGAUUCCCACUGUCCUUACCUACUAUCUAGAGAAACCAAAGCCAAGGCAAUAGGCGUGUUAGAAUCAUAAGGGAAAGAAGACCCAUCUCAGCUUGACUCUAGUCUGCCACUGUGAAGAGACAUGAGAGGUGUAGGAUAAGUGGGAGGCCCACAAGACACCUGUGAAAUACCACUAUUCUUAUUGUUUUUCACUUAGCUGGUGAGGCGGUCUGUCUCCUGUCAAACGAGAAAGCAGGUGUCCUAAAGCAAGCUAAAGGAGGACAGAAACCUCCCGCGCAGCAAAAGGGCAAAAGCUUGCUUGAUCUAGAUUUUCAGUAUAAAUACACACAGAAAAAGUGGGGCCUCACGAUCCUUCUGACUUUUUGGAUUUCAAGCAGGAGGUGUCAGGGACACCUGGCUUGUGGUGGCCAAGCGGUCAUACCGACAUCGCUUGUUCAUCCUUCGAAGUUGGCUCUUCCCAUCGUUGUGAAGCAGAAUUCACCAAACGUUGGAUUGUUCACCCACCAUUAGGGAACGUGAACUGGGUUAAGACUGUCGUCGGACAGGUUAGUUUUAACCUACCGAGGAUGUGUUGUUGCAAUAGUAAUCCUGCUGAUAGAAACUGCAGGUUCAGACAUUUGGUGUAUAUGCUUAGCCGAGAAGCCAAUGGGACGAAGCAACCAUCUGUGGGAUUGUGACUGAAUGCCUCUAGAUCAGAAUACCCCUAACCAUAAUGAUACUGCAGUGCUGUUGAGCCUCGAUUGGCCUAGGCUAGUCCCCCUGUAGGCUCUGGUGUGUAGAUCCACUUGCCUCAGGACAAGAGUGUGGACAGAAAGGGGGCCACCUCUCUCACACGUAGUGCACCGCAUGUUCAUGGGAACCUGGUGCAAAAUCAGACUACCUGAUUCUGGGUCAGGGUUUCUUAAGUAGCAGAGA